rnacentral:lncRNA from 1 species
CUGGCGGCUCAGGAGGAGAUGCACAACCCACCUCUACUUUGACAUUUGUUCCCUCAUGGAACUUUUCAAUGGAAAGAGAGUUGGGGUGACACAGGCCACACCUCACUGCAGGACUUCAAUGUGCUUGUCUAGGUUGCUUUGUUUUUCUAAGCUCCAUCCACUGCUCCAUUAGUCUGUGACCCAGAAUGGAAGCACUCGCAGCAGUGCAAAACAUAAACUCAGCUUGGCGUCUAACCAAGAUUUCCUUUGCUGUAAUCAAGAUGACUUCUGACAAGAUGAAGGAGGAGCAGAAAAGCUGACGAGUAGUCUUGAAGAAUUUGUGCAAUGGUCAAGUAUCCUCCUGUAGUUGGGUGAAGCACAGGCCAGAAGUCAGAAGCAACCCCGAAGACUUCCGGCUUUUCUUUUAAGAGCCUCAGAAAAGAGAUUAACUGGAGAAAGGCUUUAUCUCUGAUCCAGAUGUGAUACUGACUGAAGGGCUGGGAAGAAUGCUUAUAUGUUUGUUCAAGUGGGAGCAACAAAGAGAAGUUCAAGGGCAAGCAAGAUGAGGAAUAUGAGUGGCCCACACUCAUGAAGGAAGGUAGGUUCUGUGCUGCUGGUGCUUUAUUCAAUGGAUUGCUGCUCAUUCUCCACAUGGCCUUUGGGUCCCUAAAGUGAAAUCAUCCAUGGAUGAGAUGAUAUCACGCAAAUGGAAUCAGGUACUGAGAGGUUGGGCUGAAAGCUCGAGUGGCCUUCAGUGGGCUCCUCAUCAGGGUGUGGCUUAUUCCCACCAGCCAUUAGGCCACUGGUUAAAUGGUUCAUUAUUG